CAGAGGGUGCGAGCGUUGUUCGGAAUUACUGGGCGUAAAGCGCGCGCAGGCGGCUCUUUAAGUCUACCCGUGAAAUGCCGGAGCUCAACUCCGUGCACGCCGGGGGAUACUGGAGAGCUGGAGACAUGUAGAGGCAAGCGGAAUUCCGGGUGUAGCGGUGGAAUGCGUAGAGAUCCGGAAGAACACCGGAGGCGAAGGCGGCUUGCUGGGCAUGGUCUGACGCUGAGGCGCGAAAGCGUGGGGAGCGAACAGGAUUAGAUACCCUGGUAGUCCACGCCGUAAACGAUGGGCACUAGACGCGGGUGGGAUCGACCCCUUCCGUGUCGCAGCUAACGCGUUAAGUGCCCCGCCUGGGGAGUACGGCCGCAAGGCUG
rnacentral:rRNA from 1 species